rnacentral:rRNA from 1 species
GAUGAACGCUGGCGGCGUGCCUAAUACAUGCAAGUCGAGCCAACAGAUGAGGAGCUUGCUCCUCUGACGUUAGCGGCGGACGGGUGAGUAACACGUGGAUAACCUACCUAUAAGACUGGGAUAACUUCGGGAAACCGGAGCUAAUACCGGAUAAUAUAUUGAACCGCAUGGUUCAAUAGUGAAAGACGGUUUUGCUGUCACUUAUAGAUGGAUCCGCGCCGCAUUAGCUAGUUGGUAAGGUAACGGCUUACCAAGGCAACGAUGCGUAGCCGACCUGAGAGGGUGAUCGGCCACACUGGAACUGAGACUCGGUCCAGACUCCUACGGGAGGCAGCAGUAGGGAAUCUUCCGCAAUGGGCGAAAGCCUGACGGAGCAACGCCGCGUGAGUGAUGAAGGUCUUCGGAUCGUAAAACUCUGUUAUUAGGGAAGAACAAAUGUGUAAGUAACUAUGCACGUCUUGACGGUACCUAAUCAGAAAGCCACGGCUAACUACGUG